rnacentral:rRNA from 1 species
UACGGAGGGGGCUAGCGUUGUUCGGAAUUACUGGGCGUAAAGGGCUCGUAGGCGGCCAACUAAGUCGGACGUGAAAUCCCCAGGCUCAACCUGGGAACUGCGUCCGAUACUGGAUGGCUUGAAUCCGGGAGAGGGAUGCAGAAUUCCAGGUGUAGCGGUGAAAUGCGUAGAUAUCUGGAGGAAUACCGGUGGCGAAGGCGGCAUCCUGGACCGACAUUGACGCUGAGGAGCGAAAGCUAGGGGAGCAAACGGG